rnacentral:lncRNA from 1 species
CUUGGGAGCUCCUUUUAUUAGAGUUACUCCAGAUACUUUUAUGAUGAUGCUUGAUGUUGAUGGUUAUAAUUAUGGUUUAUGGUAUUUCCUCUUGGAGGGAGUGCCAUUCGGGUAAUAACUCGGGAUUAUUAUUAAAACUUGCUUUCUACUAGUAAUAAAUACCUGACCAACUAAAAGCAAUCUCUUUAAGCUUAACCCCACAUACAACUAGCCCACUUUAGUCAAACGAGACAUUUGCUAAGUACAUUGAUGUGUACUCACCCUUGCUUAAAAACACCAAAUCCCAGGUUGUCUCCAUUGCAACAAGUGCUUAGGAGAAGAUGAAGACAACAUUGAGGACUUUCAGGAGUUUCAGGACUUCGACGAGUUUUAGAAUAGAUUAGUGACAAAUUCCCA